UUCUAAGUAGUUGAAAUGUCUUCAGUACUUUGUUUCUUAAAUUCAUAGCCUCCAGGUGCCUUGUGUUCUCAUAGAUAAUCUAGUGAGAAUCUGUGCUGGAAAGUAAUUCCUCACUGUGAGCUUUGACUUUCUGUCUUCCAGGAGAGUGACAUUAAUCCUGAUGACCUGAGUGAAGCUCUCUUGCUUAUAAAGUCUCAGAAAGAACAAAAAAAUGGAGACCUUUCAUUUUUAGAAAAAGUGGACAGCAAAAUUAAUAAAGAUCUAGAACAUUCCAUAAAAGAGCUUCAAGCAACUCAUGCAGAAACAGUACAAGAACUUGAAAAGACAAGAAAUAUGCUAAUUAUGCAACAUAAAAUCAAUAAAGACUAUCAGAUGGAAGUUGAGGCAGUGACUCAGAAGAUGGAAAAUUUGCAGCAAGAUUAUGAACUCAAAGUGGAACAAUAUGUUCAUCUUCUUGAUAUCAGGGCUGCACGCAUCCAAAAGCUUGAAGGUACAGUGUGCACAGUUUUAUGGCAGUUGAAAAUGCUGUCCAAACCCUUGCUCACAGUAUCUUCCUGCUCUAUUUUUUUUCUAAUUUGAAGCUGGAAAAAGUUACCCAAGUGACUAUUUCAUCUUUUCUACUUAAGAAUUUUUAGUGGGAUUUUUUGAGAAUUUACUGUUUGCAAAUUCAGUAUUGUAAGCAAGAUUUCAGCACAGCACAGAAAGCAUCACAGACUCAAGUCUCACACCACCACUGUGAUUUUGUCACAGACUCAUGUCUCACGCCACCUUUGUGUUUCCUUCUAAGCAGCAUGUGCACCUUUGCCAACUCUCUGUGCUUGCUCUUCAUCAGAUCCAUUCUGCUCAUUCACAGCACCAGCUUUUGUUCCUGGUGGUUUUCUUCCUAAACUUCCUUUCUUCUUGACAUCUUGAUAAUACCCUUUUGUGUUUCAAAAUCUAACUUGGUACAUAGCAUGCCAGGAAGUGGCUCUGAUUGAUUCAACCACUAUCCCUUUCCCUGAAAUGCCCUCACAGUGAUUUUCAAACUUUAGCAAAUACAGAAAUCACCUGAGAGCUAUGUGUGGCAGUACAUGUGUGAAAUUCCAAUUUUCCAGGGGAUAAAGUGGGAGGAAUAUGGCUUCAAAGCCAGCUUGCACACCAUGCUGAGUUCAUGGGC